rnacentral:rRNA from 1 species
AUUGAACGCUAGCGGCAUGCCUUACACAUGCAAGUCGAACGGAGUGGCGAACGGGUGAGUAAUGUUAAGGCACGUGCACAGUCGCGGGGGAUAACUACGAGAAUGCGUAGAUAAUACUGCAUACUCUCGGUGCGGACGAAAUCGGAUUAGGUGGUUGGUGGUGUAAAGGCUAACAAAGGCGACGAUCCGUAGCGGGUUUGAGAGUACGACCAGCCACACUGGGACUGAGACACGGCCCAGACUCCUACGUGAGGCAGCAGUGGGGAAUUUUGGACAAUGGGGGAAACCCUGAUCCAGCCAUCCCGCGUGUGUGAUGAAGGCCUUCGGGUUGUAAAGCACUUUUGGCAGGAAAGCGGUACCUGCAGAAUAAGCACCGGCUAACUACGUGCCAGCAGCCGCGGUAAUUC